GAUGAAGAACGUAGCGAAAUGCGAUACGUAAUGUGAAUUGCAAAUUCAGUGAAUCAUCGAGUCUUUGAACGCACAUUGCGCCCCCUGGUAUUCCGGGGGGCAUGCCUGUCCGAGCGUCAUUGCUGCCCUCAAGCACGGCUUGUGUGUUGGGCCCCGUCCUCCGAUCCCGGGGGACGGGCCCGAAAGGCAGCGGCGGCACCGCGUCCGGUCCUCGAGCGUAUGGGGCUUUGUCACCCGCUCUGUAGGCCCGGCCGGCGCUUGCCGAUCAACCCAAAUUUUUAUCCAGGUUGACCUCGGAUCAGGUAGGGAUACCCCCUGAACUUAAGCAUAUCAAUAAGCGGAGGA
rnacentral:misc_RNA from 1 species